CCGUAAAUCUACUGUAUGAUCAAUCAAAACACAUUUUGUCCAAAGUCCAAACUUAAUGGUAAACAAGAGGCUAAUCUUGCUAUUUUUGUUUGUUAUGGGGUUUGCACUUUCUGUUUCCUUGAACAGUUUACAGUUCAUCUAAUUUACAUUUUUAUGUUAACUUUAGCAAUUAAUUUACCUCAAACAAGGUAAUUAAUAUGAUAAUUAUCCCCUGUGUAUACCGCAAGUAAGUAACUUACUCUAAUUAUGUUAAGAAAUUAGAAUGUUUGUGACCGACUGUUUAAUAAGUUGCUCUUUUCACAAGGUGUGAUAUUGUGGCAUAUUUACCCUGGAGCUAGCAUAUAUAUGGAGCUGACUUUGUUCCUGGAGGUGAGCAUAUAUUGUUGAUCUUAUCAUGUCAAUUGCAGUAGUUCCUUGAUUCACAAUUUAUAUAGUGUGGUAUAGUGGUUAUAUUUGGAGGUUUAUCCCUAUGAAAUAAUCACCGCAAGGUGAGUACUUUCUGCAGCUAAUGUGUUAUGCAUAAGCUCAAUGUGUUUGCUCAAUUAGCUACUGCUCAAUUAAAAUUGGUGACCUUCCAUUGAUGAUAGGUUUAGAAAUUAUGCAUUGAGUAAUUGGAUCUGACCUGGAGUACUUGGUUAAUUCAGUGAUGUUUUAACAAAAUUUUAACUGAAUUAUUUUGGGCAAUGGAGUACUGAAUUUUAACUGAGUAACUUGCACUUGCAUAUGCACUAGACCACUUGUAAAUUCUUUGGCUCCUCUUUAAUCUGGUGCAAUUACUUAACUGACCAUAAUAGCCUUGACACUUGUAAGUAACCAUAUCAUUCAAACAUCCAAUUAAAUCUAUUUUACUCCAUUUCCUGAGAUGAAAUUGUGAUGAUGGGAGUGACAUUAAACAACUUGAACAUAUAAUUGUGCAUGUACUCCAUUGUUAUAUACUAAUCCAUCUUGUCUUUGCCCCAUGUUAACAUUCAAAUUGUUAAUUGCAUUCAAAGUGUUAAUUGUAGGAGCAGACACAGAGGAGGAAUCUGCUACCUCAAAGCAGUUGAUCGACGCCGGGAGGCUGGGUACAUGAUGUCGGAGGCUGCCGGGAGGGUGGUGACGAGCUACCGAAGAGAUGAGUUCUGGCUCUCCUCGAUGCCAGGACGAGGCGCUGCUGCCGAUCGGACAUGGACUCGAUUGAUUUUGAUUUGAAAUAUGACGGGUUGUAAUGUAAAAUGCACUUCAGUUCAAAAUUUCCUCCCCUUGCGAGAGGUAUUCUUGGACGGAGGGAGUAGAAGAUUAGUUAUAGGAUUUUGUUUUAUUUCUGUGCAAUUUUCUUAUUAUUGGAUACUUGUAAAUACAUGGUAAUAUUCUUGCUAUAAUAAAAAUUAUGGUUCUAUUUCAUUUUUUGUUUUUAAAUUAUUUUUCCUUAUAGGUUGUUUUUUGUAAAUUUGUAUUUUUUGUUUACCAAAUAUACUAUUAGUGGCGCAUUUCAGCCUUUAUUGGUGGCGCACCUAGCUUUUUAGCUAGUGGCGCACCUCUAAGGUUACUAGUGGCGCACUUGGCUUUAUUACUAGUGGGG
rnacentral:lncRNA from 1 species